rnacentral:rRNA from 1 species
UUAAGCGACUAAGCGUACACGGUGGAUGCCCUGGCAGUCAGAGGCGAUGAAGGGCGUGCUAAUCUGCGAUAAGCGCCGGUAAGGUGAUAUGAACCGUUAUAACCGGCGAUACCCGAAUGGGGAAACCCAGUGUGAUUCGUCACACUAUCAUUAACUGAAUCCAUAGGUUAAUGAGGCGAACCGGGGGAACUGAAACAUCUAAGUACCCCGAGGAAAAGAAAUCAACCGAGAUUCCCCCAGUAGCGGCGAGCGAACGGGGAGGAGCCCAGAGCCUGAAUCAGCAUGUGUGUUAGUGGAAGCGUCUGGAAAGGCGCGCGAUACAGGGUGACAGCCCCGUACACAAAAGCGCAUGUGCUGUGAGCUCGAUGAGUAGGGCGGGACACGUGGUAUCCUGUCUGAAUAUGGGGGGACCAUCCUCCAAGGCUAAAUACUCCUGACUGACCGAUAGUGAACCAGUACCGUGAGGGAAAGGCGAAAAGAACCCCGGCGAGGGGAGUGAAAAAGAACCUGAAACCGUGUACGUACAAGCAGUGGGAGCACAGGUUUACCUGUGUGACUGCGUACCUUUUGUAUAAUGGGUCAGCGACUUAUAUUCUGUAGCAAGGUUAACCGUAUAGGGGAGCCGGAGGGAAACCGAGUCUUAACCGGGCGUUAAGUUGCAGGGUAUAGACCCGAAACCCGGUGAUCUAGCCAUGGGCAGGUUGAAGGUUGGGUAACACUAACUGGAGGACCGAACCGACUAAUGUUGAAAAAUUAGCGGAUGACCUGUGGCUGGGGGUGAAAGGCCAAUCAAACCGGGAGAUAGCUGGUUCUCCCCGAAAGCUAUUUAGGUAGCGCCUCGUGAAUUCAUCUCCGGGGGUAGAGCACUGUUUCGGCUAGGGGGCCAUCCCGGCUUACCAACCCGAUGCAAACUGCGAAUACCGGAGAAUGUUAUCACGGGAGACACACGGCGGGUGCUAACGUCCGUCGUGAAGAGGGAAACAACCCAGACCGCCAGCUAAGGUCCCAAAGUCAUGGUUAAGUGGGAAACGAUGUGGGAAGGCCCAGACAGCCAGGAUGUUGGCUUAGAAGCAGCCAUCAUUUAAAGAAAGCGUAAUAGCUCACUGGUCGAGUCGGCCUGCGCGGAAGAUGUAACGGGGCUAAACCAUGCACCGAAGCUGCGGCAGCGAACGUAUCACCCAAGACAACUUUACGGAGUUGACGAUUGACGGAGCGAAGCGACGUCAAAGCGUUCAUUAAAGUCGAGUUGGCUUAGGGAUACGUUCGUUGGGUAGGGGAGCGUUCUGUAAGCCUGUGAAGGUGGCCUGUGAGGGUUGCUGGAGGUAUCAGAAGUGCGAAUGCUGACAUAAGUAACGAUAAAGCGGGUGAAAAGCCCGCUCGCCGGAAGACCAAGGGUUCCUGUCCAACGUUAAUCGGGGCAGGGUGAGUCGACCCCUAAGGCGAGGCCGAAAGGCGUAGUCGAUGGGAAACGGGUUAAUAUUCCCGUACUUGGUGUUACUGCGAAGGGGGGACGGAGAAGGCUAUGUUGGCCGGGCGACGGUUGUCCCGGUUUAAGCGUGUAGGUGUGUGUUCCAGGUAAAUCCGGUUCACUUUAACACUGAGGCGUGACGACGAGGCACUACGGUGCUGAAGCAACAAAUGCCCUGCUUCCAGGAAAAGCCUCUAAGCAUCAGGUAACAUCAAAUCGUACCCCAAACCGACACAGGUGGUCAGGUAGAGAAUACCAAGGCGCUUGAGAGAACUCGGGUGAAGGAACUAGGCAAAAUGGUGCCGUAACUUCGGGAGAAGGCACGCUGACAUGUAGGUGAAGUGAUUUACUCAUGGAGCUGAAGUCAGUCGAAGAUACCAGCUGGCUGCAACUGUUUAUUAAAAACACAGCACUGUGCAAACACGAAAGUGGACGUAUACGGUGUGACGCCUGCCCGGUGCCGGAAGGUUAAUUGAUGGGGUCAGCGCAAGCGAAGCUCCUGAUCGAAGCCCCGGUAAACGGCGGCCGUAACUAUAACGGUCCUAAGGUAGCGAAAUUCCUUGUCGGGUAAGUUCCGACCUGCACGAAUGGCGUAAUGAUGGCCAGGCUGUCUCCACCCGAGACUCAGUGAAAUUGAACUCGCUGUGAAGAUGCAGUGUACCCGCGGCAAGACGGAAAGACCCCGUGAACCUUUACUAUAGCUUGACACUGAACAUUGAGCCUUGAUGUGUAGGAUAGGUGGGAGGCUUUGAAGUGUGGACGCCAGUCUGCAUGGAGCCGACCUUGAAAUACCACCCUUUAAUGUUUGAUGUUCUAACGUGGACCCGUAAUCCGGGUUGCGGACAGUGUCUGGUGGGUAGUUUGACUGGGGCGGUCUCCUCCUAAAGAGUAACGGAGGAGCACGAAGGUUGGCUAAUCCUGGUCGGACAUCAGGAGGUUAGUGCAAUGGCAUAAGCCAGCUUGACUGCGAGCGUGACGGCGCGAGCAGGUGCGAAAGCAGGUCAUAGUGAUCCGGUGGUUCUGAAUGGAAGGGCCAUCGCUCAACGGAUAAAAGGUACUCCGGGGAUAACAGGCUGAUACCGCCCAAGAGUUCAUAUCGACGGCGGUGUUUGGCACCUCGAUGUCGGCUCAUCACAUCCUGGGGCUGAAGUAGGUCCCAAGGGUAUGGCUGUUCGCCAUUUAAAGUGGUACGCGAGCUGGGUUUAGAACGUCGUGAGACAGUUCGGUCCCUAUCUGCCGUGGGCGCUGGAGAACUGAGGGGGCUGCUCCUAGUACGAGAGGACCGGAGUGGACGCAUCACUGGUGUUCGGGUUGUCAUGCCAAUGGCACUGCCCGGUAGCUAAAUGCGGAAGAGAUAAGUGCUGAAAGCAUCUAAGCACGAAACUUGCCCCGAGAUGAGUUCUCCCUGAGACUUAGAGUCUCCUGAAGGAACGUUGAAGACGACGACGUUGAUAGGCCGGGUGUGUAAGCGCAGCGAUGCGUUGAGCUAACCGGUACUAAUGAACCGUGAGGCUUAACCUU